GGGCGUAUGGUCUAGUGGUACGACGUCUCAGUUGCAAAAAAAUGUUCGUUGCCUUGAAGCUGUUAGAAUAGAAACAGGUGAAAGGGUUCGAAUGAUGCAUGCUCCUUGAGAAGGUCCCGGGUUCAAGCCCCGGUACGUCCA